rnacentral:rRNA from 1 species
GGAAGGAUCAUUAUCACUUAAUCCACACCUUUACUUCCCCGAGAAGAGGGGCUUGAGUCCUGCUGCCGAUACACUGGCACGGGGUUCGAGUCUCACCCUUAUAAAAACCAAACCAGGAGCCAAAGCAGGCCCCAGCCUCGUGCUGGUCGGCUGGCCGAAGUUCCGCCCAUUACCGUACUGAAACUGUAACUGAAUCAAAACUGCUUUUGGAGCUUGUCUCUUCUAGCUGUAUAAUCUAUUACAACUUUUAGCAAUGGAUGUCUUGGGUCACACAACGAUGAAGAACGCAGCGAAAUGCGAUACGUAAUGCGAAUUGCAGAACUUCGUGAAUCAUCAAAAUUUUGAACGCACAUUGCGCUACUGAGUAAUCUCAGUAGCAUGCUUAUCUGAGUGUCUUUAAACCCCACUCAGCCGCUGCUGCACUUGAUUGUGCUAGCCGCGAGCUGGACUGUGAUGGUGUUUGGCCCUGCUGCCGAACUCCGUUCAAGUUCAUUGGUUUGUUGUUGACGCCUCUGCUGGCUGAACGCGAAUCGCAACUAGAUUUGAUAGGUGCACUUAUGUGUAUUUUUGAAUCUGGCGUGCGAGUUGCCAAGGCUUACUAGGGUGUCUUCCGCGAAUUGGACAUCUAGCACCUGCUGGCUUGUCCGGAAUGAAUGUACCUCAUCUAUGGAUCUCAGAUUAAGUAAGACU